AACCUAGCACACCUGCGGUGUGUACCUGCGGAAGGAUCAUUACCGAGUUAUACAACUCAUCAACCCCUGUGAACUUACCUACAACGUUGCUUCGGCGGGAACAGACGGCCCCGUAAAACGGGCCGCCCCCGCCAGAGGACCCCUAACUCUGUUUUUAUAAUGUUUUUCUGAGUAAACAAGCAAAUAAAUUAAAACUUUCAACAACGGAUCU
rnacentral:misc_RNA from 1 species